GAACGCACAUUGCGCCCGCCGGUAUUCCGGCGGGCAUGCCUGUUCGAGCGUCAUUUCACCACUCAAGCCCAGCUUGGUGUUGGGGCACCCGGCCGCCCAGCGGCCCCGGGGCCCCCAAGUCCAUCGGCGGGCUCGUCGGGACCCUGAGCGCAGUAACACGCGGUAAAACGCGCCCUCGCUCGGCGGAUCCCGUCGGGUUCCAGCCGCUAAACCCCCCUAAACUUCUUAGGUUGACCUCGGAUCAGGUAGGAAUACCCGCUGAACUUAAG
rnacentral:misc_RNA from 1 species